AUUUCGACGAGGUAAUAUUUUGAAAAAUGAUGUCAUUGUUUAAAACUUUUAAAUGUGUCCCGCUAUUCUAUAGUAUGGUAGCAACGAUAUUCAGAAAUAUGCAAUGGGGAAAAUGAAGAGUUUCUUCAAUUUUAACAAUUUUAGGUCAUCCUUUGAAAGAAUCGUGUCAAUGGUGUUACCAAUUUAAAGCAUACAUUUAGGUACUAAAUAUUAUUGAUUAACAUCAAACAACUGUUCCAAUUUGUUGUUUAGGUUUAAAUUACGACUUAUUGACAUUAUUCAUAUAGCUGUGCAUUCUAUUUGAACAUAAAUUUCAGAAUACAUUGUCGUAAAAAAGUUGGCUGUCCUAAUUAUGGCCGUUGUAAAUACUAAAAAAUACACUUAAACUGAAUAUCUGUGAAUUGUAUAAGAUUAAAGGAUAAUAAUAUACCUAAUCCUUCGUACACGACCUAAAAACACUUUCAUUUAUGAAUAAAGAUAAAAAAAAAUGUCGCAUUUUUAUAUAGUAACACCACUGACCCUUCAGUAACUCCAAUGACACAAAAGUACCACCAAUGACAUCAC
rnacentral:lncRNA from 1 species